ACAUACCUCAGAUUUCUUGUCUUCAUGAAUUGGAAAACUGAGGCCAAGAACUUCACGUUGAGGGGAGUCAUCUGAAAGAUCAGCUUGAAUAUGAUCAUAUUCUGGAAAUAAGUCCAGUUCUUUUCCCUUUGGUUCUGGAAUAUUCAGAACCCUUUCAUCUCUAACAUUUGACGAGGUUAACCUCUCCUCAAAAUCAGAAUCUUUACCAAUAAUAGCACUUUUCUUCUUCUUCUUGCGGGGAUCAUCUGCAUUAAGUAAAUAGCCCACUCCAUGCUUGAAGCUCGAAUGCACGCUAUUAGACCACCAGCGCGCAUAAUGUAAAGUCGGUUUGCCAAUCCGGUCCUUCUU
rnacentral:lncRNA from 1 species